rnacentral:lncRNA from 1 species
AGCCUUACUGAAUAUCCUAAAAGAUGGUGGAUGGACCGGGUACAUAAGAAACUCUACCGUGAACGUUGCCUUAUACCGGACGGGGUAUCGAUAAAUGGUAUUUUUGGCGCUCAUACCGGACGGGGUAUGGGAACGACUCGAUUCACUCUCAUACCAGAUGGAAUAUUAAGGGAUAAUAUUUUUUAUGCUCAUACCGGACGGUGUAUGGGGACAACCGGUUUGUUGACAAUGUUGGAUAUGGAUUCACGCAUAGUGGGACAUCCCUAUGGGCCCAUAGGG